UACGAAGGGGGCUAGCGUUGCUCGGAAUCACUGGGCGUAAAGCGCACGUAGGCGGCUUGUUAAGUCAGGGGUGAAAUCCUGGAGCUCAACUCCAGAACUGCCUUUGAUACUGGCGAUCUUGAGUCCGGGAGAGGUGAGUGGAACUCCGAGUGUAGAGGUGAAAUUCGUAGAUAUUCGCAAGAACACCAGUGGCGAAGGCGGCUCACUGGCCCGGUACUGACGCUGAGGUGCGAAAGCGUGGGGAGCAAACAGG
rnacentral:rRNA from 1 species